GCCACCCACCACCUCUCCAGCAGGGUUCUGAAGCAAUUUCAUCCUGAUAUCAGCACUACAUUAAAUUUCUUGGGCAUCAUGAAUGAUUUUCUUAUCGACAUCUUUGAGCACAUCACCACCAAGGCUGGCUGCCAGGUUGCUACACUGAGUGCUCCACUAUCACCUCCAGAGAGAUCCAGACCACCCGAGCCUGAUGCUGUCUGGGGAUAUCCACAAACACGCUGUAUUGAAAACCAAAGGGCUCUGAGACAGUCCUCCUUUCUUGAGGAGACAAACUCCAGCCUGUGACUGAUUGCAGAGUCUUCUGGCAAGCUUCAGAGUAAAACAAAAACUAUUUGUGGAUGACAAAGGCUUAAAAUGGGACUGUGGUUAAUUUUUUGAUGGUAAUUUUCGGAAGUGAAAGAACUGAUGUGUCUAUAACAGGAAUAAUGCAAUCGACAGAAAAUUUGGUUAUUUCUGUGACACAAAGGUAAUAAAGUUAAUCCACAAAGUUUUAAACACAAUGUAUUUAAAGAUAGUCAUUAUACAGAUUUUCAGUGAAGACAGUGAAUAUUACAUCUGAUUUACAAAAAAGAUGAACAUAAUUUUUAUAAAGGAAAAAUAUUUGGAUUUAAUAAUUCAAGAACACACAAUGUACAUAAUAUACCAUGAGUAUAUUAAGAAUUCAGUAGUAAUAUAUACCAAUAGAAUAUCAAGUUGAGAUUCAGUAAGUCCAGAGUAGAUCCUAAACAUCUAUAAUUUAGUAAAGCCUCAUAGGAAAUAUUUUACAGAUGUAUGUACACAGGUUUAACUAGGUAUCACUGUGUAACUUGCAAUUUUCACCAAAUAUUGUUUCUGAAAUUUAUCUACAUUCUAAUUGCUGUAGCUUUAGUACAUUCAUUUUUACUGGUAUAUUGUAUUCCAUUGUAUGAUUGUAGUAUGAUUUAUCCAGAAUAAUCUGUUGAUGGACAUUUCAAUUGUUUUCGGAUUUGUGCUGUUAAAAACAGUGGUGCACAAAUAUUAAUUUUACCUGUUUUUUAAACAUACCAGUGGGAUUAUACAGUAUUCCCUGUUUUUGCUUGGCUUCUUUUGUGUUUUUUUAAAUUUAAAAUUUUUAAUUUCUGCGGGUGCCUAGUAGAUGUAUAUAUUUAUGGGAUACAUGAGAUGUUUUGGUACAGUUAUACAAUGUGAAAUAAUCACAUCACAGAACAUGAAGUAUCCAUUCCCUCAAGCAUUUAUCCCCUGUGUUACAAACAAUCCAAUUAUACUCUUUUAGUUAUUUUAAAAUGUAUACUAAAAUUACUAUUGACUAUAAUCUCCCUGUUGUGCUACCAAAUACUAGGUCUUAUUCAUUCUGACUACUUUUUGUGCCCGUUAACCAUCCCUCCUUCCCCUUCAUCCUUCCACUACCUUCUCCAGCCUCUGGUAACCAUCCUUCUACUCUCUAUUUCCAUGAGUUCAACUUUCUUUUGCUCAACAUGUCUGUGACACUUAAGAAACAUAUCAACCAAGUGCAAUAUGGGGCCCUUGUUUGGACCAUAAUUGGAACAAACCAACUGUACAAAAAGCAUUUGUGCAACAAUUGAUAUUGAUAUUUGAUAUUAAUGAGUUACUAUCAAAUUUUUUCUAGGUGUGACAAUGGUAUUGUGCUUAUGUUUAAAAGAGCUCUCAUCUUUUAGAGAUUCAUACUGAAAUACUUAUGGAUGAAAAUAUAUUAUUUGCUUCAAAAUGGUGGAGGUGGGAAAAUGUGGAGUAUAUGGCUGUGAAUUGAUAAUUCUUGGAAUUAGGUGAUGAGAAAUGGGUGUUUAAUAGACUAUUUUCUCUACUUUUGUAUAUAUUUGAAAUUUUCCCUAAUAAAAAGGUUUUUAAAAAAGAGUGGUACAGAGGUCAUUUUGUACAAAUCUCCUUGUAUACAUCUACCA
rnacentral:lncRNA from 10 species